UACGUAGGUGACGAGCGUUAUCCGGAUUUACUGGGCGUAAAGCGCUUGUAGGUGGCUCUGUAAGUUGGGCGUGAAAACACCGGGCUUAACUCGGUGACGCCGUCCAAUACUGCGGGGCUGGAGGAUGUCAGAGGAAGGUGGAAUUCCUGGUGUAGUGGUGAAAUGCGUAGAUAUCAGGAGGAACACCCGUGGCGAAGGCGGCCUUCUGGGGCAUUCCUGACACUGAGAAGCGAAAGCUAGGGGAGCAAACAGG
rnacentral:rRNA from 1 species